UACAGAGACUGCAAGCGUUAUUCGGAUUCACUGGGCGUAAAGGGUGCGCAGGCGGCCGUGUGUGUCAGGUGUGAAAGCCCGGGGCUUAACCCCGGAAUUGCGCCUGAAACUACAUGGCUAGAGCAUUGGAGAGGGUAGCGGAAUUCACGGUGUAGCAGUGAAAUGCGCAGAUAUCGUGAGGAACACCAGAGGCGAAGGCGGCUACCUGGACAAUUGCUGACGCUCAGGCACGAAAGCGUGGGGGAGCAAAAAGGG
rnacentral:rRNA from 1 species